rnacentral:rRNA from 1 species
GUGGGGAAUCUUCCGCAAUGGACGAAAGUCUGACGGAGCGACGCCGCGUGAGUGAAGAAGGCCUUCGGGUCGUAAAGCUCUGUCAUCAGGGACGAACGGCCGGUGGAGUGGAAAGCCACCGGAUUGACGGGACCUGAGAAGGAAGCCACGGCUAACUACGUGCCAGCAGCCGCGGUAAUACGGAGGUGGCAAGGGUUGUCCGGAAUGAUUGGGCGUAAAGCGCGCGCAGGCGGGAUCUUAAGUCCAUUGUGAAAGUUCGGAGCUCAACUCCGUGAUGGGAUGGAAACUAGGAUUCUUGAGUACCGGAGAGGAAAGCGGAAUUCCCCGUGUAGCGGUGAAAUGCGUAGAUAUGGGGAGGAACACCAGUGGCGAAGGCGGCUUUCUGGACGGUGUCUGACACUGAGGCGCGAAAGCAUGGGUAGCAAACAGGAUUAGAAACCCUGGUAGUCC